CUGAUAGAGGCGCGGUUCUCAUGAGUACCCUCCGGCAAGGCCAGGCAAGCCGCCGGGGAGGAAAGGGAGCGCCGCCGAAGGAAGCGAAGGUGCCUGCCGCCGCUUACCUGGGCCGCCGGGAAAUACCCGCCGGACUGUCACCGUGUGUGAAGCGCUAUCAU
rnacentral:ncRNA from 1 species